rnacentral:tRNA from 1 species
GCGGAUGUAGUAUAUCGGUAGUACGCGACCUUCCCAAGGUUGCAAGGCGGGUUCGACUCCCGUCAUCCGCU